AUUGAACGCUGGCGGCAGGCCUAACACAUGCAAGUCGAACGAGUGGCGGACGGGUGAGUAAUGUAUGGGAAACUGCACGAUGGAGGGGGAUAACUACUGGAAACGGUAGCUAAUACCGCAUACCAUCGGAUGAGCCCAGAUGGGAUUAGCUUGUAGGUGGGGUAACGGCUCACCUAGGCGACGAUCCCUAGCUGGUCUGAGAGGAUGACCAGCCACACUGGGACUGAGACACGGUCCAGACUCCUACGGGAGGCAGCAGUGGGGAAUAUUGCACAAUGGGCGCAAGCCUGAUGCAGCCAUGCCGCGUGUAUGAAGAAGGCCUUCGGGUUGUAAAGUACUUUCAGUGGGGAGGCGUUACUCACAGAAGAAGCACCGGCUAACUCCGUGCCAGCAGCCGCGGUAAUUC
rnacentral:rRNA from 1 species